rnacentral:lncRNA from 1 species
AAAAGGAAAAUAACAUUUUUCCCUAAGACUCAAGGAAGAUGCUCCAGCCCUCCAUCAACACCCAAAGCUGAACUCUACUUCAACGAUUCCCUGAACAACUUGCUUAUGGAACAUUUUACACUAUCUUUAAGUACUGUCUUUACUACGAUAAAGAUUUCCGACGCCGGCCCCUGGUUUGGGUCCACCGCUCGCCUCAUUCUUGCCUUCCCUAUCCCACCUCGAGGAGCACUGCUUUCUUUAUUAGAUGGAUCCGCAGCCGGGAGAAGUCAGGCUAGACUACCCGGGAUACCGCUGCAGGGGGCGGGGCCAGAGCACAUCCGAGAAGGAGAGAUGCUGCUGCUAGAGAGACUCGGCAGCGGUCUGGUGACGUACUUCCGGCCGCGCCGCGGAGCGGCCAGCUUCGGAGAUUUAGUAGCCGAUUACGUUCCGUCGGAUAGAAGGCGAAGCCUGGGUUAUUGUCACAACCGCGAAGCCGCGAGCAGUUAG